rnacentral:rRNA from 1 species
GGUAGUUAAGUCAGAAGUGAAAUCCAAUAGCUCAACUAUUAAACUGCUUUUGAAACUGAUUACCUAGAAUAUGGGAGAGGUAGAUGGAAUUUCUGGUGUAGGGGUAAAAUCCGUAGAGAUCAGAAGGAAUACCGAUUGCGAAGGCGAUCUACUGGAACAUUAUUGACGCUGAGACGCGAAAGCGUGGGGAGCAAACAGGAUUAGAUACCCUGGUAGUCCACGCCCUAAACGAUGUACACUAGUUGUUGUGAGGCUCGACCUUGCAGUAAUGCAGUUAGCACAUUAAGUGUACCGCCUGGGGAGUACGGUCGCAAGAUUAAAACUCAAAGGAAUAGACGGGGACCCGCACAAGCGGUGGAGCAUGUGGUUUAAUUCGACGAUACACGAAGAACCUUACCUGGACUUGACAUAGUAAGAACUUUCUAGAGAUAGAUUGGUGUCUGCUUGCAGAAACUUAUAUACAGGUGCUGCACGGCUGUCGUCAGCUCGUGUCGUGAGAUGUUGGGUUAAGUCCCGCAACGAGCGCAACCGUCGUCAUUAGUUGCUAGCAGUUCGGCUGAGAACUCUAAUGAGACUGCCUACGCAAGUAGGAGGAAGGUGAGGACGACGUCAAGUCAUCAUGGCCCUUACGUCCAGGGCUACACACGUGCUACAAUGGGGUAUACAAAGAGCCGCAAUACGGUGACGUGGAGCAAAUCUCAAAAAUAUCUCCCAGUUCGGAUUGUAGUCUGCAACUCGACUACAUGAAGUUGGAA